rnacentral:rRNA from 1 species
AUUGAACGCUGGCGGCAGGCCUAACACAUGCAAGUCGAGCGGAUGACAGGAGCUUGCUCCUUGAUUCAGCGGCGGACGGGUGAGUAAUGCCUAGGAAUCUGCCUGGUAGUGGGGGACAACGUUUCGAAAGGAACGCUAAUACCGCAUACGUCCUACGGGAGAAAGCAGGGGACCUUCGGGCCUUGCGCUAUAAGAUGAGCCUAGGUCGGAGUAGCUAGUAGGUGAGGUAAUGGCUCACCUAGGCGACGAUCCGUAACUGGUCUGAGAGGAUGACCAGUCACACUGGAACAGAGACACGGGCCAGACUCCUACGGGGGGCAGCAGUGGGGAAUAUUGGACUAUGGGCGAAAGCCUGAACCUGCCAUGCCGCGUGUGUGAAGAAGGUCUUCGGAUUGUAAAGCACUUUAAGUUGGGACGAAGGGCAAUAAGUUAAUACCUUGCUGUUUUGACGUUACCGACAGAAUAAGCACCGGCUAACUCUGUGCCAGCCGCCGCGGUAAAAC